rnacentral:lncRNA from 1 species
AAAAAUUCAAAGCAUUAAAGAUACAAUUAGAAUCCAUACAUAAAAUAUAUAAGAACAAAAAUCUCAAUUAAAAGAAAUAAAUGUCUCAAAUAGAUUACAUUGUUCGUCCAAAAAUUAAAUUUAGCUACGUGUAUUAAUAAAAGAAAAACAAGAAAUUAUGAAUUCAUCACCCCUAUUAAUUGACGGAACGUGAAUGAUUUUAAUGUUUCGUGUGUGCUGCCUCAAUUUGAUGCCCUUUUCUCCAUUUUCUGUCCCUUUUAUUUAACAGCAGCAGAAAUUUUUUUCCUCCUUUCCUGUUUGUACGUGUAUCUCUCCAAAUAAAAAUUCAGCAGCCACCGAAUUUGAACAAAGAAAAGUGACUCCAGCUGCUUUGAAAUAUGUGCGCGUCUCUGAAUAUCUUAAGACUCAAUUCUGUAAGAAAAUUAUAUAUAAUUGGUUGCCUCUCUCCUCUGCUGCGUGCCUCUGAAAGAAUUGCAGCCACCAAAUUUUGUAUGAAAUAUAUCAAAUUUGCUCCUCUCUCCA